UUCUGCCAGUCUCCUUCAGAC
rnacentral:miRNA from 1 species